AUCAUUUCUCAGCCUUUUGGCUAAGAUCAAGUGUAGUAUCUGUUCUUAGCAGGUUAAUAUCUGAUACGUCCUCUAUCCGAGAACUUUCUAUUAAAUGGAUUUUUGGAGCUGGGGGAUGGAAUAGGAGCUUGCUCCACCCACUCCACACAUGGACCCGGUAUUGCAGUACUUCUGAGAAUGGCACACCAAAA